UACGGGGGGGGCAAGCGUUGUUCGGAAUUACUGGGCGUAAAGGGCUCGUAGGUGGCCAACUAAGUCAGACGUGAAAUCCCUCGGCUUAACCGGGGAACUGCGUCUGAUACUGGAUGGCUUGAGUUCGGGAGAGGGUAGUGGAAUUCCCAGUGUAGCGGUGAAAUGCGUAGAUAUUGGGAGGAACACCGGUGGCGAAGGCGGCUACCUGGACCGGUACUGACGCUGAGGCGCGAAAGCCAGGGGAGCAAACAGG
rnacentral:rRNA from 1 species